CACGUAGGGGGCAAGCGUUGCCCGGAUUCAUUGGGCGUAAAGAGCUCGUAGGCGGUUCGAUAAGUUGGGUGUGAAACCUCCAGGCUCAACCUGGAGACGCCACCCGAUACUGUCGUGACUAGAGUCCAGUAGGGGAGCGUGGAAUUCCUGGUGUAGCGGUGAAAUGCGCAGAUAUCAGGAGGAACACCAGCGGCGAAGGCGGCGCUCUGGGCUGGAACUGACGCUGAGGAGCGAAAGCGUGGGGAGCGAACAGG
rnacentral:rRNA from 1 species